rnacentral:snoRNA from 1 species
CACAUCCAGAUUCCUUAACCCUCAGAUCUAAACACUGGUCUGGGUAGCUAUACAAGGAGGAACAUUAAAACCGAAGUGGGCUUGGAUUAUUUAAUGUCAAACAAGG